ACUUUGGUAUUCCUUUCUACAAACAAAAAUCUUUUGCCUGUUACUAAAUAUUUCCGUAGAAGGGAACAGUUGAUGACUCUAUGACGAAUUAUUUGUGUACCCGACAUCAAUUGGGCC